AAAAGAAGGCAGCAGCCCAGGAUCGUGAGUUUUCAAAGCAUUCCAUUUUCUGUUCCCUCCCGUUCAUGAAAGCAACGUCCAGAAGACAAGAGAUGUCCAGUUCCCCUUCCACUUCUGCCAUGUUAUGAUACAGCAUGAGGCCCUCACCCAGAAGCUGACCAAAAGCAGCUGCCUGAUCUUGGACUUCCUGCCUCCAGAACU